rnacentral:lncRNA from 1 species
GAAAUAAAAUUUCAGUUUAUUGAAAUAAAAAAGAAAUACAACACAAGUUUAAAAUAGAGAAAAUUAAAAGAGGACACAUGCAAUAUGUAGGGCAGGGUAGGGUAAAUUAAUAAAUUUAAUUAUUCAACGUGUAUGUGGAUUAGUGUUGGUGGUAUGAGGGGGGUUAGUCCCAAAAGUAUUAUUGACAGCAUCGGCAGCACCUUUUGCCAUGUUAGCAGCACCAGAUGCAACCCCCUGUGCCAAGUGAAUUGCUCCUUGUGCUGCUCCUGAAGCUAUGUCUGCCGCUCCGUGUGCCAUCGUGUUCACUUCUCCUCCCGUCUGAUUCAGGAAGUUUGUGUUUUGCCCUUGAGGCUGGUUGGAUGCUUGGCUCAUCUGUGGCUGUGACUGUGACUGCAUGCACGCUCGCUCCAAUAAUUAAUUUUAUCAAAAAAAUUAACAAUCAAUUAAUGUACCUCUUUCUUUUUUUUCCAUUUUUCUUUAGGACAGACUAAGAAACUGUAUGAUCCUUGUACGUGCAGGAGUAAUUAAAAGGAAGGCUAGCUAGCUAGUAUUUAGAAAUUAUAUAUACAUAUAGCAGGUACGUACGUACCUGUUGGAAGAAUUCAUUAGCUUGCCCGGGUGCUUGGUCGUCCCUCUUCAACUACGCACGCACCAACGCAAGAGUUACAAUCUUAAUUACUCAUCAUUACCUAUCUAUCUCCAUAUAAUACUUAAAUCAAUAAAUCUGAAGGAUAGAUAGAGUGAUAUAUCACCUGAGGCUGUCCUGCAACUGGUUGGUUUGCCAUUUCCUUUCCUUUCCUUUUCCUUCUGAAUGAUUUUAUGUAUAAAUUAGAUAUGAUCGAUC